rnacentral:rRNA from 1 species
GCAGUCGAGCGGUAGCUCCUAUUGGUUUAUGCCGAUAGGAGUGAGAGCGGCGCACGGGUGAGUAACACGUAGGUAACCUACCCCAGAGAGGGGGAUAACACCUCGAAAGGGGUGCUAAACCCCCAUAUACUUACCGAGCGAUAUGCUCAGGUAAGGAAAGAGUAUAGAGGGGCAACCCUCUAUGCUGCUCUGGGAUGGGCCUGCGGCCUAUCAGCUAGUUGGUGGGGUAAUGGCCCACCAAGGCUAAGACGGGUAGCCGGCCUGAGAGGGUGGUCGGCCACACUGGGACUGAGACACGGCCCAGACUCCUACGGGAGGCAGCAGCCGGGAAUCUUCCGCAAUGGGGGAAACCCUGACGGAGCGACGCCGCGUGAGGGAAGAAGCCCUUCGGGGUGUAAACCUCUUUUCUCGGGGAAGAAUACUGACGGUACCCGAGGAAGAAGCCCCGGCUAACUACGUGCCAGCAGCCGCGGUAAGACGUAGGGGGCGAGCGUUGUCCGGAUUUACUGGGCGUAAAGGGCGUGUAGGCGGCUUAGCAAGUCAGAUGUGGAAGCCCUGAGCUCAACUCAGGGAGGUCAUCUGAUACUGCUAAGCUAGAGGGCAGGAGAGGAGAGCGGAACUUCCG